CAGCCGCCGCGGUAAUACGUAGGUGGCAAGCGUUGUCCGGAAUUAUUGGGCGUAAAGGGCUCGCAGGCGGUUUCUUAAGUCUGAUGUGAAAGCCCCCGGCUCAACCGGGGAGGGUCAUUGGAAACUGGGAAACUUGAGUGCAGAAGAGGAGAGUGGAAUUCCACGUGUAGCGGUGAAAUGCGUAGAGAUGUGGAGGAACACCAGUGGCGAAGGCGACUCUCUGGUCUGUAACUGACGCUGAGGAGCGAAAGCGUGGGGAGCGGACAGGAUUAGAUACCCGCGUAGUCCCUGUCUCUUAUAA
rnacentral:rRNA from 1 species